GAUGAACGCUAGCUACAGGCUUAACACAUGCAAGUCGAGGGACCGGCGCACGGGUGCGUAACACGUAUACAACCUGCCCUUUCCCCGGGGAUAGCCUUUCGAAAGAAAGAUUAAUACCCGAUGUAAAGGAUGGGGAUGCUUUCAUUUAGGGUGUUGGUGAGGUAACGGCUCACCAAGACUUCGAUGGAUAGGGGUGCUGAGAGGAAGGUACCCCACAUUGGAACUGAGACACAGUCCAAACUCGUACGGGAGGCAGCAGUGUGGAAUAUUGGUCAAGGGGCUUUAGCCUGAACCAGCCACGUAGCGGAAAGGAUGAAGGCUUAUUGGUCGUAAACUUCUUUUAUAGAAGAAGAGGUAUUAUAUGAAUAAGGAACGGCUAACUCCGUGCCAGCAGCCGCGGUAAUUC
rnacentral:rRNA from 1 species